rnacentral:lncRNA from 1 species
UCUGUAAAGUGGGGAGAAUAAUCUUGACUGUCUUAAGAGCUGUUGCCAGUUGGGUAGUGAACUAAGCAUGAGAUUGGGGGUAUAAGGUUCAGCAAUAUUAACUGUUCAAGGAAAUUCUCACCAAGUGGUGCAGUGGGACUCUAGGUGGCCUGUCCGUGUCCACUGAAGGUGGUAGAUGCACACUUGGGAACAGUGGGCAACAGCAGGGAGCAAGGAACUGGAUUUUAUGGCAAAGCCCCGCUUCAAACUUGUUGUCAAGCCGGUAAAAAGGAAGCAAUACUGCUGGGGAAGGGGCGGCAGGCGCCAUGUCCGGCCACGAAGGAAGAUAAGGCUUUCAAGCAGAAACAAAAAGAGGAGCAGAAGAAACUCGAGGAGCUAAAAUGGAAGGCCACGGGGAAGGGGCCCUUGGCCACAAGUGGAAUUAAGAAAUCUGGCAAAAAGUAAGCUGUUCCCUGUGCCUAAGGAGAUGGUGACCCUUUAUUUCAUCAGUAUUUAAACCUCUCUAUUCCCUGCCAUAACAUCUUUUGCCACCUAUGGCUGGAAUUAAGUGUUGUCUUGGAGCUGUUGUACAUUUAAGAAUAAACUUUUGUUAAAAAAAAAAAAGAAGCAAUACAACGAAAUGUACAGUACAAUGCCAUCUGUGUAUCAAAUGCAGGAGACAGGGGAUGAGAUGCGGGGAGGAGACCCAAGGCAGGAGAAGCGCCUAGCCCUGAUGGUUACCAGCAGAGGACUGAGGAGCGUUAUCAGCACCACUGAAUGCUCCAGAAGUUCAAACAACAACAACAACAAAAACGCAACACGCGAUCAGAGGCGUUUUCUGCCAGUGACCCGCGAACUUUGCCCCCCACCCCUCGUCCCCGCUCCAUACUAUCCUUGAUCUUGGCCAAAAGGCGGAGAAACAGCGAACUUUUCCCUGGAGCCAGAAGGACGCAAAGGUUCGCUAGCGGCCCAGGGCGGGCGCGCGGCUGGAGAGGCACCCUCCUCACUCUGCCCGCUGCCGCACUGGGCACUGGGACUGGCUCCGCUGCCUCCGCCCCCGAACCGGGCCAGGACCCUUGGCGGGGGAGGGGAACGCGCACUUAAACGCUCCUGGCCUGGGGGCCGCGGGGCCCAGU